AUUGAACGCUGGCGGCAUGCUUUACACAUGUAAGUCGAACGGCAGCACGGACUUCGGUCUGGUGGCGAGUGGCGAACGGGUGAGUAAUAUAUCGGAACGUGCCCAGUCGUGGGGGAUAACGUAGCGAAAGUUACGCUAAUACCGCAUACGAUCUCUGGAUGAAAGCGGGGGAUCGCAAGACCUCGCGCGAUUGGAGCGGCCGAUAUCAGAUUAGGUAGUUGGGGGGGUAAAGGCUCACCAAGCCAACGAUCUGUAGCUGGUCUGAGAGGACGACCAGCCACGCUGGAACUGAGACACGGUCCAGACUCCUACGGGAGGCAGCAGUGGGGAAUUUUGGACAAUGGACGCAAGUCUGAUCCAGCCAUUCCGCGCGCAGGAUGAAGGCCCUCGGGUUGUAAACUGCUUUUGUACGGAACGAAAAGGUCUCCAUUAAUACUGGGGGCUCAUGACGGUACCGUAAGAAUAAGCACCGGCUAACUACGUGCCAGCAGCCGCGGUAAUAC
rnacentral:rRNA from 1 species